AAUGAACGCUGGCGGCAGGCCUAACACAUGCAAAUCGAACGGAUCCUUCGGGAUUAGUGGCGGACGGGUGAGUAACGUGUGGGAACAUACCCUUUGGUACGGAAUAGCCUCGGGAAACUGGGAGUAAUACCGUAUGUGGUCGAGAGACGAAAGAUUUAUCGCCAAAGGAUUGGCCCGCGUUGGAUUAGGUAGUUGGUGGGGUAAUGGCCUACCAAGCCGACGAUCCAUAGCUGGUUUGAGAGGAUGAUCAGCCACACUGGGACUGAGACACGGCCCAGACUCCUACGGGAGGCAGCAGUGGGGAAUCUUAGACAAUGGGGGAAACCUUGAACUAGCCAUGCCGCGUGAUCGAUGAAGGCCUUAGGGUUGUAAAGAUCUUUCAGGUGGGAAGAUAAUGACUGUACCACCAGAAGAAGCCCCGGCUAACUCCGUGCCAGCAGCCGCCGUAACAC
rnacentral:rRNA from 1 species